rnacentral:rRNA from 1 species
GACGAACGCUGGCGGCGUGCUUAACACAUGCAAGUCGAACGAAGUGGCGAACGGGUGAGUAAUACGUGGGUAACCUGCCCUCCUUUUUGGGAUAAGCCUUGGAAACGGAGUCUAAUCCCGCAUAAAGGGUGAUGGGCUCGCGGCCUAUCAGCUUGUGGGUGGGGUUAUGGCCUACCAAGGCGGUGACGGGUAGCCGGCCUGAGAGGGUGACCGGCGACAUUGAGACUGAGAAACGGCCCAGACUCGCACGGGGUGCAGCAGGGUGGGAUAUUGCACAAUGGGCGAAAGACUGAUGCAGCGACGCGGAGUGGGGGGUGAAGGCUUUGGGGUUGUAAACCACUUUCGCAAGCGAACGGGUAGGUGGAGAAGAAGCGCCGGCUAACUACGUGCCAGCAGCCGCGGUAAUAC